UACAGAGGUCUCAAGCGUUGUUCGGAUUCAUUGGGCGUAAAGGGCUCGUAGGCGGCCAACUAAGUCAGACGUGAAAUCCCCGGGCUUAACCUGGGAAUGGCAUUUGGGACUGCAAGGCUUGAGUGCGGCAGAGGAGACUGGAAUUCCUGGUGUAGCAGUGAAAUGCGUAGAUAUCAGGAGGAACACCGAUGGCGAAGGCAGGUCUCUGGGCUGACACUGACGCUCAUGCACGAAAGCGUGGGGAGCAAACAGG
rnacentral:rRNA from 1 species